GUGCCUACGGGGGGCAGCAGUGGGGAAUAUUGCACAAUGGGCGAAAGCCUGAUGCAGCAACGCCGCGUGAAGGAAGAAGGGUUUCGGCUCGUAAACUUCUAUCAACAGGGACGAAAGAAAUGACGGUACCUGAAUAAGAAGCCCCGGCUAAAUACGUGCCAGCAGCCGCGGUAAUACGUAUGGUGCAAGCGUUAUCCGGAUUUACUGGGUGUAAAGGGAGCGCAGGCGGCGCGUUAAGCCUGGUGUGAAAGCCCGCGGCCCAACCGCGGGACUGCAUUGGGA
rnacentral:rRNA from 1 species